AGAGUGAACGCUGGCGGCAGGCCUAACACAUGCAAGUCGAACGGCAGCACAGUAAGAGCUUGCUCUUAUGGGUGGCGAGUGGCGGACGGGUGAGGAAUACAUCGGAAUCUGCCUAUUUGUGGGGGAUAACGUAGGGAAACUUACGCUAAUACCGCAUACGACCUACGGGUGAAAGCGGAGGACCUUCGGGCUUCGCGCAGACAGAUGAGCCUAGGUCGGAUUAGCUAGUUGGUGGGGUAAUGGCUCACCAAGGCGACGAUCCGUAACUGGUCUGAGAGGAUGAUCAGUCACACUGGAACUGAGACACGGUCCAGACUCCUACGGGAGCAGCAGUGGGGAAUAGUUGGACAAUGGGCGAAAGCCUGAUCCAGCCAUGCCGCGUGUGAGAAGAGGUCUUCGGAUUAGUAAAGCUAAUUUAGUGGGAAGGUAAGGCAAGUUACUAAUACGUAUCGU
rnacentral:rRNA from 1 species